rnacentral:rRNA from 1 species
GCUGCCGCUGCUGCUGCUGCUGCUGCUGCUAGUACUUGCCGUAUUAAGGUGAAACCGCGAAUGGCUCAUUAAAUCAGUUAUGGUUUCUUAGUUCGUACCUACAUUAUACUUGGAUAGACACAUUAUACUCCAAUAGUGUAUAUUAAAGUUGUUGCGGUUAAAAAGCACGUAGUUGAAUCUGUGUGUCACAGUGUCGGUUCACCGCUCACGGUGUUUAACUGGCAUUAUGUGGUACGUCCUACCGGUGGGCUUUGCUCUUUAAUGGGCGGUCCAACUAAUAUCCCAUCGCGGUGCUCUUCACUGAGUGUCGAGGUGGGCCGGUACGUUUACUUGGAACAAAUUAGAGUGCUCAAAGCAGGCUACCUUCGCCUGAAUACUGUGUGCAUGGAAUAAUGGAAUAGGACUGUACAUGUAAUGAUUAAUAGGGACAGAUGUGGGCAUUCGUAUUGCAACGUUUGAGGUGAAAUUCUUGGAUCGUCGCAAGACGGACAGAAGCGAAAGCAUUUGCCAAAAAUGUUUUCAUUAAUCAAGAACGAAAGUUAGAGGUUCGAAGGCGAUCAGAUACCGCCCUAGUUCUAACCUUAAACGAUGCCAGCCAGCGAUCCGCCGAAGUUCCUCCAAUGACUCGGCGGGCAGCUUCCGGGAAACCAAAGCUUUUGGGUUCCGGGGGAAGUAUGGUUGCAAAGCUGAAACUUAAAGGAAUUAACGGAAGGGCACCACCAGGAGUGGAGCCUGCGGCUUAAUUUGACUUAACACGGGAAACCUCACCAGGCCCGGACACCGGAAGGAUUGACAUAUUGAUACCUCUUUCUUGAUUCGGUGGGUGGUGGUGCAUGGCCGUUCUUAGUUGGUGGAGCGAUUUGUCUGGUUAAUUCCGAUAACGAACGAGACUCUAGCCUGCUAAAUAGACGUAAAUUAUGGUAUCUCGAAGGCUCCCGACUUCGGUCGGCGAGUUUUUACUACCAACGUACAAACAAAUCUUCUUAGAGGGACAAGCGGCUUCUAGCCGCACGAGAUUGAGCAAUAACAGGUCUGUGAUGCCCUUAGAUGUUCUGGGCCGCACGCGCGCUACACUGAAGGAAUCAGCGUGUUUUCCCUGGCCGAAAGGCCCGGGUAACCCGCUGAACCUCCUUCGUGCUAGGGAUUGGGGCUUCCAAUUAUUCCCCAUGAACGAGGAAUUCCCAGUAAGCGCGAGUCAUAAGCUCACGUUGAUUACGUCCCUGCCCUUUGUCCACACCGCCCGUCGCUACUACCGAUUGAAUGUUUUAGUGAGGUCUUCGGACUGGUGCGCGGCAAUGUCUCGGCAUUGCCGAUGUUGCCGGGAAGAUGACCAAACUUGAUCAUUUAGAGGAAAUAAAAGUCGUAACAAGGUUUCCGUAGGUGAACCUGCGGAAG